rnacentral:rRNA from 1 species
ACCCUUUAAUGUUUGAUGUUCUAACGUGGACCCGUUACCCGGGUUGCGGACAGUGUCUGGUGGGUAGUUUGACUGGGGCGGUCUCCUCCUAAAGAGUAACGGAGGAGCACGAAGGUUGGCUAAUCCUGGUCGGACAUCAGGAGGUUAGUGCAAUGGCAUAAGCCAGCUUGACUGCGAGCGUGACGGCGCGAGCAGGUGCGAAAGCAGGUCAUAGUGAUCCGGUGGUUCUGAAUGGAAGGGCCAUCGCUCAACGGAUAAAAGGUACUCCGGGGAUAACAGGCUGAUACCGCCCAAGAGUUCAUAUCGACGGCGGUGUUUGGCACCUCGAUGUCGGCUCAUCACAUCCUGGGGCUGAAGUAGGUCCCAAGGGUAUGGCUGUUCGCCAUUUAAAGUGGUACGCGAGCUGGGUUUAGAACGUCGUGAGACAGUUCGGUCCCUAUCUGCCGUGGGCGCUGGAGAACUGAGGGGGGCUGCUCCUAGUACGAGAGGACCGGAGUGGACGCAUCACUGGUGUUCGGGUUGUCAUGCCAAUGGCACUGCCCGGUAGCUAAAUGCGGAAGAGAUAAGUGCUGAAAGCAUCUAAGCACGAAACUUGCCCCGAGAUGAGUUCUCCCUGAGACUUAGAGUCUCCUGAAGGAACGUUGAAGACGACGACGUUGAUAGGCCGGGUGUGUAAGCGCAGCGAUGCGUUGAGCUAACCGGUACUAAUGAACCGUGAGGCUUAACCUUACAACGCCGAAGCUGUU